GUAAAUCUCAUAUUAUUUAGUAAGAAACACUGAUCAGUAUUUAGUAAGCAUUUACUAUAGUAUCUAUAUUUUGAUUUGAAUUGUCGGAACAGUUGUUGAAGCCUAUUAAUACAAAAUACAACAUAUAUAUUAUUAACGUGCUAUUAACUUCCAGUGUUGUUAUUUGUUUAACAAUAAUUACAUUUAAGUUUGUGCGUUUUUUAUCAUUUUAAUCGUCUAACUGUUUUACAAAUUUAGUGUUUUGAUUUCUCCAUAAACAAGGAAGAAAGUUAUAAACUUGUUUUUUGGCUGCUAACUAAAAAAGUCCAGUUCAUAGUUCCUGUUAGAAAGUUGACAGUUCGUAUUAUACAGUGUUUAGAAUAAAGUGUGUACCGGUAUCAACACAAGUGCAAUAUUAAAGUAUCGGUGGGACAGAAUACUUUUGGCGACAAGGAAAUAUCAACAGUACAUAUCUGACAGUCAACAUGGGUCGUGAUAUACAUCGACCAUCGUACACUACCACCAAUCAGCGACUAGAACUAGAAAGGGAGUACGUCCAUAACCCUUCGGCCCAUCUCUAUUUUCGCCAGAGAUACAGACUGACAGCGUAUAUGGACUUGACCCCACGAAAAAUAAAAAUCUGGUUUUUGAGAAGACAUGCAGCAGACAGUAAAAAGAAAAACGAAAUCCGCUGCGAGCAAGUGCAGUACACAAUGGUAUACAUGAAAUAUUACUCGACUCUUGACUUUAGUGAUCCAACGAAUUGUAUCAAAGAAGAAUAUCAUUCAAUUGUUUGUGAUCGAAAACCUACCAUUUUUGUGAGUUGACACUUUUAAGGACUACAAAAAACGUUUUUUUCCAAAAAAAGUUAAAGAUUUUUUUAUAUUUUUAUGUGCAUUUUUAAAACACCCUGUAUAUGUACAGUGUUCGCAAAAGAAUUUGAAAUAAAUGUGAUUUUUUUACUAUGAUAGGUAAAAUUAGGGAAAAUUCUGAAAAAAAGUUGUUUAUUGUCAUUUUUCAAAGUAAAAAUAAUAAAAAAACGUAUUUUUAUAUUGAUAAUAAUUUUUUUAUAAUUCUAUUGAUUAUGAAAUUUUUGAUACACACAUUAUAAGAGAAAAUAUAUUAUUUCUUUGCUUAAUUGGCUUUGCUUUUAAUUUGUUUAAGUUUAUUCACGCAUGCCAGUCACGUCUAUUUAUAGGGUGUUAUUCAAAAAUCGGUCACCCCUAUAAAUUUGAUUGACGUAUAUUCCAUUUUUUGGCCACUUUUUGUUUCACCGGAAAUGAGUACGUUUGAUUUUAAAAUGGUACCCUCGGUACUUUUUACUUUAUUUGAUAGAAAAUGGCAUUCCGAAUAGAAUGACAUAUCAUACUAUGUCAACUUUUGACAUUUUUGCUUAAAAAAAUUGUAUUGAGUGCCAUGGCUGUGUUAGUUUGGUACUACAUACUUGCUAUUUCGAGUCAAAUAAACUUUUGUUAUGAACGCAGUCAUGACAGUCUAGAUUGAAAUUUAGAAUACUAUUUUGUUUAAGCAAAAAUGUCAAAAGUUGAUUUGAAAUAUCAUUC